rnacentral:rRNA from 1 species
UAGCAAUAUUUUGCAGUCGGAGUGGCGAAAGGGUGCGUAACACGUGGGUUAUUUGCCGUGAAGUUGGGGAUAACUCGCUGAAAGGCGAGCUAAUACCGAAUGUGGCCUAUCAAGGCUAAAGUUGGGGACCGUAAGGCCUGACGCUUCACGAUAAGCCCGCGGCCUAUCAGCUAGUUGGUGGGGUAAUGGCUCACCAAGGCUAAGACGGGUAGCUGGUCUGAGAGGACGACCAGCCACACUGGAACUGAGACACGGUCCAGACACCUACGGGUGGCAGCAGUCGAGAAUUUUUCUCAAUGGGGGAAACCCUGAAGGAGCGACGCCGCGUGGGGGAUGAAUGGCUUCGGCCCGUAAACCCCUGUCAUUUGCGAACAAACCUUUCGGUAUAACACAUCGAAAGCUGAUUGUAGCGGAAGAGGAAGGGACGGCUAACUCUGUGCCAGCAGCCGCGGUAAUACAGAGGUCCCAAGCGUUGUUCGGAUUCACUGGGCGUAAAGGGUGCGUAGGUGGCGGGGUAAGUUUGAUGUGAAAGCUCCGAGCUCAACUCGGAAAUUGCAUUGAAUACUAUCCUGCUAGAGGGUUGAAGGGGGGACUGGAAUUCUCGGUGUAGCA